GAGCCCAGAGCAAAUAGUCUUAAAAAAAUAAUAAUAAAUAAGAACUGAGUAGGUUUGCUUGUCAUUGACAAUCUCUCUUCUGUUCCAAAUAUACAUCAUGAAGAUUGCACUCAGCGCUGUCAGAAGAGUUUUCAGAGUUUAGAGAAGUAAUUACUGUAAUUGAUUCUGGGCAACCCUUAUGGCCAGGGAUCUAGAGACCAAAACCCUCCUCCUACAAGCCAUCCUGUCAGCAGCACUGACUGGAAGGGACAGCCACGCUCUGCAAGAGAAGAGGAAGGAGUCUGCUGGAAAGGAACCUCCCCUCUGAGGUCAGGUGGGGGCGGGAGGCUCUCCAGUCCUCACCCCUCCUGACGGGCCUGCCCCGGAGAGGAAGCCAGAGGGAGGGACUUCCAGGCCCAGAAGGCGAGCUCUGCCCCUUCCUGACACAGGGCACGCGGUGCACAGACAAGGGACUGGACGCGCAGGGGACUGGGACCGGCACCCAGGCGGGAUCCCCCCACCGCCGCCGGGCUCACUGUGGCCCUCGUGCCGGCUCCGUGGAAUCCAGAGCCCGCUGAGUGGAGCCCCGGCUGCUGGUGGGCGUGCACGAGGCCUUCCCGAAGGACAGCAAGAGACCCGGAGGAGGUGUCAUGGAUCUUUUUCUGCCACAACUUACGUCUGCUUUUCAAGUUGCCUGCCACCGACCCUCUAUAAAGCACUACCCUGACUCCAGGCGGCACCUCCCACAGAACCAAGAAGAGACCAGGAUUCUGCACCCCGCUUAGCAGCCCAGAGAUGGGGCGGCUCUGGGGUUCUUCCUUAGAGCCUGGUGUCCCCAGCAGUGGGAGCCAGAGCUGAGGGACAGAAAGCACGAUCACCCAGAGAGGGUACGCUACCAUCUCUCCGUCUCCUUGGAUCUUUUGGAUCAAGAAGGGGCGCCUGGGGGGCUCAAGUUGGUUGAGCAUCCGACUGCGGCUCAGGUCAUGAUCUCACACAGUGCGUGGGUUCGAGCCCCGCGGCGGGCUCUGCACCGGCGGUGUGGAACCUGCUUGGGAUUUUCUCUCUCUCUCCCUCUCUCUGCCCCUUCCCCACCUGUGCUGUCUCUCCUUCUCUCUCCCCCGACCCCCGAAAAUCAAGAAAUAAACUGAAAAAAAAAAAGAGAAGAGUUUUGCUU
rnacentral:lncRNA from 1 species